rnacentral:rRNA from 1 species
CAAUAGCGUAUAUUAAAGUUGUUGCGGUUAAAAAGACUCGUAGUUGGAUUUCUGCCGAGGACGACCGGUCCGCCCUCUGGGUGAGUAUCUGGCUCGGCCUGGGCAUCUUCUUGGAGAACGUAUCUGCACUUGACUGUGUGGUGCGGUAUCCAGGACUUUUAACUUUGAGGAAAUUAGAGUGUUUCAAGCAGGCAUACGCCUUGAAUACAUUAGCAUGGAAUAAUAAGAUAGGACCUCGGUUCUAUUUUGUUGGUUUCUAGAGCUGAGGUAAUGAUUAAUAGGGAUAGUUGGGGGCAUUAGUACUUUCCAGUCAGAGGUGAAAUUCUCCAAUUUGGUAAAGACUAACUUAUGCGAAAGCAUUUGCCAAGGAUGUUUUCAUUAAUCAAGAACGAAAGUUAGGGGAUC